ACGUAGGAUGCUAGCGUUGUCCGGAUUUACUGGGUGUAAAGGGAGCGCAGGCGGGUUGGUAAGUCGGUGGUGAAAUUCUCGGGCUUAACCCGAGGACUGCCAUCGAUACUGCUAAUCUUGAGUGCAGAAGAGGUUGAUGGAAUUCUAGGUGUAGCGGUGAAAUGCGUAGAUAUCUAGAAGAACACCGAUGGCGAAGGCAGUCAACUGGUCUGCUACUGACGCUCAUGCUCGAAAGCGUGGGGAUCAAACAGGAUUAGAUACCCUGGUAGUCCACGCCCUAAACGAUGAAUACUCGAUGUCGGCUCGCAAGGGUCGGUGUCUAAGCUAACGCAUUAAGUAUUCCACCUGGGGAGUACGAUCGCAAGGUUG
rnacentral:rRNA from 1 species